GAGAAUGAUUAAAACAAUGGCUUUAGUGGCGGGACUGGUGAGUAACACGUAAGCAAUCUGCCUAUUAGAGGGGAAUAACAGUGAGAAAUCAUUGCUAAUACCGCAUAUGCCAUAACUAUCGCAUGAUAGAAGUGGGAAAGGAGCAAUCCGCUAAUAGAUGAGCUUGCGACUGAUUAGCUAGUUGGUGGGGUAACGGGCCUACCCAAGGCGACGAUCAGUAGCCGAACUGAGAGGUUAAACGGCCACAUUGGGACUGAGAUACGGCCCAGACUCCUACGGGAGGCAGCAGUCGGGAAUAUUGCGCAAUGGAGGAAACUCUGACGCAGUGACGCCGCGUAUGGGAAGAAGGUUUUCGGAUUGUAAACCAUUGUCGAUAAGGAAGAGAAAGGACUGUACUUAUCAAGAAAGCUCCGGCUAACUACGUGCC
rnacentral:rRNA from 1 species